CUGCAUGUGGAAAUGUCUCCGCCUCAUUCCUUUAGGACUGGGAGUAUAUCCAUAACUUGUUUCAUUAACAGAGUUCUUAGGGCUGCCAUCUUUUAGUAGGAGUUGAGUAGUAGCAUUUGUCUCCUGCAAAA